rnacentral:rRNA from 1 species
CAUAAGCGCACAGUAUCGCAUGAUACAGAGUGAAAAGAUUUAUCGGUAUAAGAUGGACCCGCGUCUGAUUAGCUGGUUGGUGAGGUAACGGCCCACCAAGGCGACGAUCAGUAGCCGGCCUGAGAGGGUGAACGGCCACAUUGGGACUGAGACACGGCCCAAACUCCUACGGGAGGCAGCAGUGGGGAAUAUUGCACAAUGGGGGAAACCCUGAUGCAGCGACGCCGCGUGAGUGAAGAAGUAUUUCGGUAUGUAAAGCUCUAUCAGCAGGGAAGAAAAUGACGGUACCUGACUAAGAAGCCCCGGCUAACUACGUGCCAGCAGCCGCGGUAAUACGUAGGGGGCAAGCGUUAUCCGGAUUUACUGGGUGUAAAGGGAGCGUAGACGGGAUGGCAAGUCUGAUGUGAAACCCCGGGGCUCAACCCCGGGCAUGCAUUGGAAACUGUUAACCUAGAGUGUCGGAGAGGUAAGUGGAAUUCCUAGUGUAGCGGUGAAAUGCGUAGAUAUUAGGAGGAACACCGGUGGCGAAGGCGGCUUACUGGACGAUAACUGACGUUGAGGCUCGAAAGCGUGGGGAGCA